GCUCCGAGCUGUUCCCUUCCGAGAACCUGCCGGCUGGGCCAGGUGUGGAUUCCAGGGGCGGCCGGCCGUCAGACACGCCGCACCCAGGGACGCUCCUGAGAUGGCCCUUCUCUAUUUGCGGCUUCUGCUGAGAGGGUCUUUGGCCCGGCGCUCUGGCCUUCGGAUCUUUCUGAGGCACUAGGAGAGGGUUGAGCAGGACACCGGCCCCUCUCUGCGCCACCCUCCGACUCUUGGCCUCCUUUGUCGUCCGGAGACUGAGGAUCUUCAGUCAUCAGUCCCGGUUCCGUUCUGAUUCACAGCUCCUGGUGUUUCUCUCCCUCUUUGCCUCCUGGGACAGGUAACGGGAAAGCGGGUGGCAUCUCCUGAGGGGUGUGCUCAGGCACAUCAGUCACAAGUCCUGCUCCCGCACGACGGGCCCCCUUCCCGGGGUUUCCAGAAACACGCCCCCGUGUCCUCCUGAGCCUUUGCCGCAGCACCCUCGAAGUCCACACUCCCGUGACACACGAUCCUGGUGUCUUCAAGGCGAGGUGCUCCUCGCCUUUUUCUGGGCCCUGCCAACAGGCACACGUGUCGUGGCUUCAAACCACACCCUUUCAGUGUCUCACGGAUUGAGCGUGUCGGGAGUCUGGCAUGCGGUGGCUGGGCCCUCCGCUCACUGGGUGGCUGUGGUCCCUACGGGAGCACGGGGCCCCUCAAUCCCACAUGAUAUUGGCAGCGUUUGGAUCCUUGGGGUUGCAGGACUGAAGUCUCCAUCUUGUCUCUGCCUUUCCUUCUUGUUCCGCUGUAUGUGGACCGCGGGCCCCUCCCAGCUCUGCAGCGUUCAGACCCUUGUCACACAUCAAAUCUCUCUGAUUUCUGUGACCAGCUGGAGAAAACUCUCUGCUUUGAUGGCACUCGUGUGAUUAGGUUGGGCCCCCUGGAUUGUCUCCGUAUGGUAAGAUCAACCCCUCAGGAACCUUAAUUACAUCUGGAAAAUCUCUUUGCCCUUGAACAUAGUCAUGGGAGUAAUCCCAGGAAGCGGAGAUUGUGGGGUGGGGGUGGGGCGGUCAUUUGAGAAUUCUGCCUACCAUAGUGACCUUGUCUAGUUUGCCUGCGCUUGGGUAAGCCUGGACACACCUCAAACGUGUACUCACACAGGCUUUGAUCAAAGUUUGUUGUUUUAGAAAUGGGGCCACAUACUUCGUGUUCCUACCAAGCUCCUUUGGGAGAUCUCUCCACAUCUGUCAGAGUUCCCAUUCACUCGUUUUAGGGAUUAUGGAAUAUUCCAUGGUGUGGAUGGAGCACCAUGUAUAUUUUGGGAUCAUUAAGAACACUUUUGCAAAACCUAUUGCCAUAUAUAAUGUAUUAACGCCGAAUGUGUUAAUAAUCGCAAGAUGGCCAGUACCUACUUUCGACUAACGUAAAAAUCAGUGUUAAAUUGAACACCGUGCCUUAAUAAUUACUUAGGAUUCUUAGUUUUGUACUUCCCUGAAGAGCUCUCAUAAAUGGAAGGGUUUAUUUAAUCACGGACUUUCAUCUCUGUUAGUUUCAUGCAUACAUGAAAAGACAAACACCAGUGAAAUAAAUCCAGUGUCUAAUUCCCCUUCUCCACUCCGGGCUGUCCGCGCCCACGUGCCCUCGGGAACACCCGGACGCACCCUUUCUGAGGAGAAGCCUCCGCUGUUAGCUCUGCCAUUUUCUUCCCAGCCCGUGGGCAUGAAAUUCUGCGAGUUCGCACAGAGCAGCCAGAAGUUACGUUCGCUCUUCAAGUAAUCCUUAAGUGACUGAAAGACUGUAGCGCCGCCCCCUGCCACCCCCUGCCCCGCCCCCGGAGGGAAUAACAAUCCAGUUUCCACCUCACGGCCGCCACCCGGCUGGCAUCCAUAUGAAUGUGGGAUGCUUUCCAGUUUGAAAGAUGCAAAUAACGUCGGGUAUUUAAAAUGUAGAGGACGGAUGACGUAUCCCCCCUGCGUGUGCGUGUUCAUUCAUUCCUUCCUUUAGUAGCUGGAACAGGAUGCACAUUGAACGUUUACUUUUCACCAAAGUCACAUGGGUGCACAGCUUCCCGUCACUAAUUAAAAACAGCCAAGCCUCACGCCGGGCCCCAGCCUGCGCUUCUUCCCGAU